rnacentral:tRNA from 1 species
GAUCUUUUAGUAUAGUGGUAGUACCCCGCCUUUUCGCCGCGGUAGCACCAGUUCGAUUCUGGUAAAGAUUA